rnacentral:lncRNA from 1 species
CCCUUUCUACUUUUUGGCACUAAACAACAUCAAUAAUUAUUCUUGUGAACUUCAACCCAAAACAAUCAUUCUAGCCAAAAUUCUAUCCCUUACCAAACAUUUACCGUUGUUACAUCCUUGAAAUAGCCCUGCUUUUUUUCUUCUUUUUUCUUUUUUAUCAAGUUGGGGAGAAGAAAAUCUUCUGUUUCAAAUAGACUGCUUCAAUUUUUAUGUAAGAUCACCGAUCCCAGUUGUACAAAUAUAAAGAGUGAUGAAUGAACAGAAAUCAUCCUUUUCUUUAACUGUUUGCAGAUCUAAGCACCUCAUAAUGACAUAUUUGUAGCAAUCUCUCUAUUGUCAGAGUAAUUUUAAACACAACCAUUCUCCUGAUCCGAAGCAGUAAGGGUUUUUAAAUCAAUUACUAACGGAACUGUUAAAGAUAAAUAAACAAAAUAAUUAAAAAGUGGGUAAUUAAACAAAAUGAUCAUAGAGGUGGUGGAAGAACAAACAAAGCCAAGAAAAGAAAUGAAACCUCCUUGGUUUCAUGUUCCAUAGCAGCUAAAUCUCUACGCGCCGUCGCUUUCCACCACCGGCGUCGCGUUCAAAUCCAAAACACCGUUUUCCUCCUCCUCCUCCACCACAGCCGCCACCUCUUCAGCCCCGGAACUCUGGAUCAUAAUCUCCUCCUCGUUAUUUCCACCACCAUCAAUCACUUCCACCACUUUAGCCUCAACUGCAGCCCGCCACCCUUCUCCACUACCCUUUCCAAAGUACUUCGCGGCUUCCUGCAUCCUCCUUAGUAUUGCAAAGAACUCCUCCACCUCCUCCUCAGUCGCCACCGUCACCACCUCCUCCUCAGUCGCCACCGUCACCACCUCCUCCUUUCCCUCCCGUCCCCUCACCUUCUUUUUCCUUCCUUGCUCGCUUUCUUUGUCUCCCCUCUUUCUUUUCUCUUUUCCUCUGUCCAUCUCUCCUUCAGGAACCUUGGAACUUUUAUGCAGACCUUGUAACAUUAUAGAAAGCUCAACCACAGGAUACAAAACUUGUAAAAUAAUAGCGGUGGAGGUAGAUACAUACUUGGAACUGUUUACAUGACAAAACCAUAUGAAUGUAUAUAAUGUGAAUUUAAGAUAUACUAUGUUUUAAGGAGAUAAUAUAUUUAUAUUCAACUAAUAGUAACCAAGAGAAUAAUUAAAUAAUAAAGUUGAAGACAAUUUCAUUCACAUAAAUCCCGUCCAUUUUAAUAAUUUUCCAAGGUCGUUGAAGACUUGUG